GUACGCCAGGACAGACGGACGGACACCUUUUGAGACGGGUUUGAUGCGGGAUCUGAGUUGUUCUGAGAUUAUACUGUCUGAACUUGAUCUAGAUAAUUCUAGCGAAAGGACAUGCGCGGCUUUGAUU
rnacentral:ncRNA from 16 species